AGAGUUUGAUCCUGGCUCAGGAUGAACGCUAGCUACAGGCUUAACACAUGCAAGUCGAGGGGCAGCAUGAACUUAGCUUGCUAAGUUUGAUGGCGACCGGCGCACGGGUGAGUAACACGUAUCCAACCUGCCGAUGACUCGGGGAUAGCCUUUCGAAAGAAAGAUUAAUACCCGAUGGCAUAGUUCUUCCGCAUGGUAGAACUAUUAAAGAAUUUCGGUCAUCGAUGGGGAUGCGUUCCAUUAGGUUGUUGGCGGGGUAACGGCCCACCAAGCCUUCGAUGGAUAGGGGUUCUGAGAGGAAGGUCCCCCACAUUGGAACUGAGACACGGUCCAAACUCCUACGGGAGGCAGCAGUGAGGAAUAUUGGUCAAUGGACGAGAGUCUGAACCAGCCAAGUAGCGUGAAGGAUGACUGCCCUAUGGGUUGUAAACUUCUUUUAUACGGGAAUAAAGUUAGCCACGUGUGGCUUUUUGUAUGUACCGUAUGAAUAAGGAUCGGCUAACUCCGUGCCAGCAGCCGCGGUAAUACGGAGGAUCCGAGCGUUAUCCGGAUUUAUUGGGUUUAAAGGGAGCGUAGGCGGAUUGUUAAGUCAGUUGUGAAAGUUUGCGGCUCAACCGUAAAAUUGCAGUUGAUACUGGCGACCUUGAGUGCAACAGAGGUAGGCGGAAUUCGUGGUGUAGCGGUGAAAUGCUUAGAUAUCACGAAGAACUCCGAUUGCGAAGGCAGCUUACUGGAUUGUAACUGACGCUGAUGCUCGAAAGUGUGGGUAUCAAACAGGAUUAGAUACCCUGGUAGUCCACACAGUAAACGAUGAAUACUCGCUGUUUGCGAUAUACAGUAAGCGGCCAAGCGAAAGCAUUAAGUAUUCCACCUGGGGAGUACGCCGGCAACGGUGAAACUCAAAGGAAUUGACGGGGGCCCGCACAAGCGGAGGAACAUGUGGUUUAA
rnacentral:rRNA from 1 species